GAGCCACACGGCUAGCAGGAGAGGCGUGCGGCCCUGGGCUGGUAGCGCACUGACCCCGAAGGGGAUUUAGCGGGAAGGGAGCGACCGAGUUCUGGGGGCUUUGUCCCGGGGCGCCCAGAAAGGCCGAGGCACAAGAAUAAGAAGCGGCUGCAGCGUGAAAGGCUGCGAGGAGCGGCGGCGCUGCUGCUCUUGACUUCUGAGCAGGGCUUAGAAGACCUGCCGCAGCUUAAGCUGAACUGAGGGUGCUGAGCCCUGAGCGCCGAGUUCACGAGCUCUGAGUCCCUGGCCUCUAAGCUGAGGAGGCGUGGGGUAGGGGCAGACGCUGGAGUAGUGGGUCUUCUUGCAACGACCUCCUCUUGGAUCUUACAGCCUUGCUACCUUAGCGCAUGGUUGUUAGCCUAACCCGCCGCGUCUGGCACAGCCAAAGAAAUUUAUUUUCCCAGCUUGGCUUUUGCUUUUGUGUGUCCACUUCGAGCAGAUCCGGAGCUGGCCGACCCCAGACUGAUUCUCAACAGGUGGCUGGCAGCCCUCCCACACGCCGCCGCCAAUCCGGAUCACAGAUUGGGUUGGGAGUGAGAUUGCAAGGCAGUUAGGUCCGAAGGUCCUGGGUGUCGCGGUUAGAACGCCUCCCCGCCGUGAGUAUGAAGUGGUUAUCAAGAUAUCCUUCUCCUUCCUGACCCUGCAAGGUUACCAAACAGCUUGGACCUUUGAAUCAGAUCUCUGGAGUGAGCAUUAAGGACUUCAGCCAUACAGAUCUCAGGGCCUGCCUGGCCCUUUCACUCGGCCACGAAGGCUGCUUGAGGGAGGGGGAGUGGCAGCUUCACGCAGCGCCAACGCGCAGGAAAAACUCAAAGGCCGACAAUCGGACUAAUAUUCGUCCUUUGAGAAUACACUACCUGAAGUUAGUUGCAAGACAUCGUCAAUCGCUGAAAGAAAGAAAGAAAAAAAAAAACCUCACAUCUAGAAGAUUCCUUGAAGCUCCUUCCAACAGCACGAGAACCUGUGCACUCACACCCUUAAUACAGCCUGCCCAGGCCAGAGGAGAGAAGGCGGCGGAGGAAUACAUCGCUUAGGGUUGUUUAGACACUUGGGAUAACUGUUUUCAAUACUCUGUUGCCUCUGCUAUCUAGGACCUUAGGUCCCUCUAGGGACCCUGAGAAGUGGCUUUGCCCUACGGUGCCUAGAGGGAGACAGUGACUCUAACUCUGGCUUUCCUACUGGGAGCUUAAAGUUGGGGUGAGGGCUUAAGGAGGAGCCGAGGGGGCGGGCCCUGCUAGUUUGCAGUUGUAAGUGCAGCUGCACCUGGGACGCCAGAAAGGAGAGUUUCUCUCCCUAACCUCGGGUGCUGGCUUAAAGGCUCGCUGAGGUUAAUUACGGAGCCUCUGCACUGUCCUGGGCCCCGAGGCAACACAGGACGGCAGUGGCCGCGGAUGCCAGCUGACGCUAAGAUUUCACUUGCUUCUUAAUUUGGCUGUUCGGUGCUAGUGUCCACCUGGGGAGGUUCUAAAAGCUGGUCGCACAGGUCCCGAAUUCAUCCUGUAAGGUGGCAGAGAGUUGCUCCUUCUUGUAAACGGUUAGCAUACUUACUAGGGUAGAGGAAGGUGUGAAAAAAAAAAAAAAAAAAAAGCUUAGGGUGCCUAGGAAACUUACCAACCUCACAGUUCACCCAAAGUCCAGAAGCUUCCUUUGUACAUACACCUUCUCUUCCCAACUCAGAUCCCUAAGGUCUCCUCUUCAUCUGGCAUCCACAGAAGGUCUUCACACUGUAAGUGUGCGAGAACACACUUAGAAAACGUAUAGAAACGCUAACAUCAGUACUGGAGGAAUAAAGAGGUGUCUAAGGAAUAGAUCGAAUGCAUGGACACAUACCCUGUUGUCCAGAUACAGACAAAAGCUACCGAGUCCACAUGGAGUGACCCCCCCCCCCCAGACAUGCACACAGAUGUACAGGAAGCCAAGGAGAGUGGGCUCAACCAGAGAACAGUACUUCCUGCAAGCUGCCCAGUGGCCCUGGAGAAAAAUCUUCGUCGAAUCUUCUGUAAGCAAAGUUUCAGGCCAUGUUCUGAAGAAAAGAGCAAGCACUGAUUCACCCAAGAGGCUGCCUUUGGGCUCUCCGCCUGCUCUGUUGGAGACACCCAGAAGAGGGCAAUACAGGAAAGAUUCUUUUUGCUUCAGUUAUUUCUGUUGGUUGUUGUCCCUUUCACCCCUUGCCUGGAAAAUUGUGCUCUGGAAUAGGGUUUGAGUAGACAGCACAGGCCUCCACUAGCUGACAAGAGAUUCUCAGUUUCCAAUGGGGACAUUCAGUUCUAAGGAAGCUUCCAGAUAAGGGGAAAGCCUUGUUUUUACCCUUCUCCUCUGCGAUCUGAGGGAAAAACAAAACAAAACAAAACAACAACAACAACAACAACAACAACAACAAAACCCAACCCUAUAGCCCAACCCCAUGUACAUCAAAUAAAUCCAUAAGGAAUAAGCUAAACUAAGCUAAAUUAUGUAUUUAAUUAAUUUUCUUUUGUGAGAUACCGAGAAGACUUCAACUUCCUCUAUGCCAGGCAGGUCCUGACCUGGCAGAGAUUUUACCAACAGGGUUUCCACAGUGGUUCUGGGGCCAGCCUUAAGGUGUACUGACUCGUUUUCUCUGUCACUUCUGCUGCACAUUCUAGGGAACAGUCCCAGACAAUGACUGUCUCAGUUCCCUCUAAGAAGAGACAGGGGCUACUCAGAGCACCACUGCCCCUCCCAACCUCACCUCAUCUUCCAAUGUCCUCUCUUGAGUUCAUUCUCUGAGCCUUUCCCUCUAAAAGUAGCAAGUACGAGUCUUGGACCAUUUCUUUAAAAGAACGACUAGGAAAAGGGAGGAAAAGAGGGAGGAAGGGAGUGGGAAGGAGAGCUACCUCCUGGGCCACCAAGUCUAAUAACCACUCACCAAGGAGCAAAAGAGAGCCUGUGUUGUAAGGACAAAGUGACCCCAGAACAUUGCUGUGCCCAGGGCACAUUGCAACAGAUGUAACUGUCCACUGAAGAGACAAGAGAUGGAGCCCAUGAAUAGAGAAGAAUUUUCCUCCCUUUUGUGAACAGCUCUUACACUUUUCCAAGACACAUCUCGUUCCUGGACAUUUUAGUUGAGUUUGUUCUUGAUUGUGUUUUGAACAAUAAACUGUGAAAAUCAA